AAACUGAAGUCCAGUGAUGCGGGGUCAUGUCCAGAAGUGAUAAUAGGCUUCUAAUGUGGAGAAAAGUUUUGAAAAUCCAUCCUGCAGAAAAUGAGUGCACAGGAAGCAGCACAGUUUGAAUGUGUCUUAGUUAGUGGCUUGCUUAUUCCAGUGUGGGCGUGAGAAGAAAGUUUCAGAAGGUGAAUCUGGGAUACAGUGAUAGGGAUUUCAAAGCAGGCAAUAUUUCAUAAGGAUUGAUCCUAGUACUUGGCUUCUUUAUGUUUAGGAAAUCCCUCCAUCAGGUCAUGUGAGCACAGAAAAAUUGCAAUUGGAUUGAUGAUAUUUACUGGGAAUAGGAAAUGUAAUUUGGUUAAGAUGUAAGGCUGAGAGCACAAAAGGUGUAGAUGAAGGAGGACUGUGCAAAACAAUGUUGUGCAGAAACAUCAAGCUUAGUGAUGGUAGAGGUGCUCAUCAAGUAAAUGUGCUGUUUUGUUUUUGUUUCUUGCAGGAUUCCGGAACGUGAUGUGGAUUUUGAGACUGGAGUUUGCAGAAGAGUUUUCAGAAACUCUAUAACAAAGGCUACAAGCUACAAGCUGAAUUUAGAGGAGUUCAACAUGAAGACAAGGGUAUGCUACACUAUGGAAGGAUUAGCAGAGAGCUAUCUAGAAUGCCUGGACUUGCCCCCAGUCCUGCUUUGUCACAGGAAACUGAGCAUACAGCAACUCCUCUCCACUGUGCCUGCACAGGCCAGAACAGAGGCAUCUAGAAAAUCUGCU
rnacentral:lncRNA from 1 species